GGGUUGGUAGCUCAGUCGGUAGAGCAGUGGACUUUUAAUCCAUUGGUCGAGGGUUCGAAUCCCUCCCGACCCA
rfam:Candidatus Accumulibacter sp. BA-94 contig000064, whole genome shotgun sequence.